rnacentral:rRNA from 1 species
GGCGGACGGGUGAGUAACGCGUAGGAAUCUGCCUAGUAGAGGGGGACAACAUGUGGAAACGCAUGCUAAUACCGCAUACGCCCUACGGGGGAAAGGAGGGGACUCUUCGGAGCCUUCCGCUAUUAGAUGAGCCUGCGUAAGAUUAGCUAGUUGGUAGGGUAAAGGCCUACCAAGGCGACGAUCUUUAACUGGUCUGAGAGGAUGACCAGUCACACUGGGACUGAGACACGGCCCAGACUCCUACGGGAGGCAGCAGUGGGGAAUAUUGGACAAUGGGCGGAAGCCUGAUCCAGCCAUGCCGCGUGUGUGAAGAAGGCCUUAGGGUUGUAAAGCACUUUCAGGGGUGAGGAAGGGUAGCUAGUUAAUACCUAGUUAUCUUGACGUUAGCCCCAGAAGAAGCACCGGCUAACUCUGUGCCAGCAGCCGCGGUAAUACAGAGGGUGCAAGCGUUAAUCGGAAUUACUGGGCGUAAAGCGCGC